rnacentral:rRNA from 1 species
UACGGAGGAUCCAAGCGUUAUCCGGAUUUAUUGGGUUUAAAGGGUGCGUAGGCGGCUUAUUAAGUCAGGGGUGAAAGACGGUGGCUCAACCAUCGCAGUGCCCUUGAUACUGAUGAGCUUGAAUACACUUGAGGUAGGCGGAAUGUGACAAGUAGCGGUGAAAUGCAUAGAUAUGUCACAGAGCACCAAUUGCGAAGGCAGCUUACUAAGGUGCAAUUGACGCUGAGGCACGAAAGCGUGGGGAUCAAACAGG